rfam:Ovis aries breed Texel unplaced genomic scaffold TnplacedScaffold_004082159.1, whole genome shotgun sequence.
UUCCUGGUGGCUCAGACAGUAAAGAAUCUGCCUGUAAGGCAGGAGACCCAGGUUCAAUCCCUGGGUCGGGGAA